UACGGAGGGUGCAAGCGUUAUCCGGAUUCACUGGGUUUAAAGGGUGCGUAGGUGGGUUUGUAAGUCAGUGGUGAAAUCUCCAAGCUUAACUUGGAAACUGCCAUUGAUACUGCAGAACUAGAGUACAGAUGACGUUGGCGGAAUGUGUCAUGUAGCGGUGAAAUGCAUAGAUAUGACACAGAACACCGAUUGCGAAGGCAGCUGACGAAACUGCAACUGACGCUGAUGCACGAAAGUGCGGGGAUCAAACAGG
rnacentral:rRNA from 1 species